rnacentral:rRNA from 1 species
AUAGGUGGGAGGCUUAGAAGUGUGGACGCCAGUCUGCAUGGAGCCGACCUUGAAAUACCACCCUUUAAUGUUUGAUGUUCUAACGUUGACCCGUGAUCCGGGUUGCGGACAGUGUCUGGUGGGUAGUUUGACUGGGGCGGUCUCCUCCUAAAGAGUAACGGAGGAGCACGAAGGUUGGCUAAUCCUGGUCGGACAUCAGGAGGUUAGUGCAAUGGCAUAAGCCAGCUUGACUGCGAGCGUGACGGCGCGAGCAGGUGCGAAAGCAGGUCAUAGUGAUCCGGUGGUUCUGAAUGGAAGGGCCAUCGCUCAACGGAUAAAAGGUACUCCGGGGAUAACAGGCUGAUACCGCCCAAGAGUUCAUAUCGACGGCGGUGUUUGGCACCUCGAUGUCGGCUCAUCACAUCCUGGGGCUGAAGUAGGUCCCAAGGGUAUGGCUGUUCGCCAUUUAAAGUGGUACGCGAGCUGGGUUUAGAACGUCGUGAGACAGUUCGGUCCCUA